AUUGAACGCUGGCGGCAGGCCUAACACAUGCAUGUCGAGUGAGCGGCGGACGGGUGAGUAAUUUCUGGGAAACUGCAUGAUGGAGGGGGAUAACUAAUGGAAACGGUAGCUAAUACCGCAUACCAUCAGAUGUGCCCAGAUGGGAUUAGCUAGUAGGUUGGGUAACGGCUCACCUAGGCGACGCUCCCUAGCUUGUCUGAGAGGAUGACCAGCCACACGGGGACUGAGACACGGUCCAGGCUCCGACGGGAGGCAGCAGUGGGGAAUAUUGCACAAUGGGCGCAAGCCGGAUGCAGUCAUGCCGCGUGUGUGAAGGAGGCCUUCGGGUUGUAAAGCACGUUCAGCGGGGAGGCGUGACCCGCAGAAGAAGCACCGGCUAACUCCGUGCCAGCAGCCGCGGUAAUAC
rnacentral:rRNA from 1 species